GCGCUCGUGGCCUAAUGGAUAAGGCAUUUGACUUCUAAUCAAA
rnacentral:tRNA from 1 species